AAUGGUUGCCUAACAACCAGUAGGUAAGCCAUCUCAUACCUCUCUCAUAUAUUUUCCCUUUCCAAUUCUCUCUCUCUCUCUCUCUCUCUCUCAAAUACAACAAACAUCAUGUCAGUCUUGCAGUUCUAAGAUACUGCAGUGCCAAGCAAUUGCAUUCCCAGUUUCUGGAGGUAACAGGAGAUCAGAUUACAACCCAACUCUCAUCUUCAACAAUACUGAGAUAGCAGGCAGCAGCAUUGCGGAGAUGAGAUUUGUCCCUUCAGUUGUCUUCUUCUGUGUGCUAUUUUCCUAUGCCGCUGCAUUUGAUCCCUUGGAUCCGACUGGGAACAUAACAAUCAAAUGGGAUGUGAUGUCCUGGACUCCAGAUGGCUAUGUGGCAGUUGUGACAAUGAACAACUUCCAGAUGUACAGGCACAUAAUGAGCCCUGGCUGGACCUUGGGAUGGUCAUGGGCUAAGAAAGAGGUGAUUUGGUCAAUGGUGGGGGCUCAAACCACCGAACAAGGCGACUGCUCCAAGUUCAAAGGCAACGUCCCACAUUGUUGCAAGAAGACUCCCACUGUUGUGGAUUUGCUCCCUGGGGUACCCUACAACCAGCAGUUUCAGAACUGCUGCAAAGGCGGGGUGGUGGCAUCUUGGGGCCAAGACCCAGCAUCCUCUGUCUCCGCCUUCCAGGUCAGUGUGGGGCUCGCCGGGACUUCAAACAAGACGGUGAAGCUCCCCAAGAACUUCACCCUGCUAGGACCCGGACCUGGCUACACUUGUGGCCCGGCAAAGAUUGUGCCUCCAACCGCUUUCCUCACAGCUGAUCUUCGUAGGAAGACCCAGGCCUUAAUGACAUGGAACGUAACAUGCACUUACUCACAGUUUCUAGCCAGGAAGCACCCAGCUUGCUGCGUCUCUUUCUCAUCCUUCUACAACGAAACAAUUACUCCCUGCCCUUCUUGUGCUUGUGGUUGUGAAAACAAAAACAAAUGCAUCAAGAGCGACUCUAAACUUCUAAGCAAGACGGGGAUAAACACUCCGAGGAAAGACAACAUGCCACUGCUGCAGUGCACGCAUCACAUGUGCCCAAUUCGAGUGCACUGGCACGUCAAGAUCAACUACAAGGCCUACUGGCGGGUGAAGAUUGCGGUAACGAACUUCAACUACCGAAUGAACUACACGCUCUGGUCUCUCGCUGUCCAGCACCCGAAUCUCAACAAUGUGACUCAAGUUUUCAGUUUCGAUUACAAGCCUCUCGUGCCCUACGCGUCCAUCAACGACACAGGAAUGUUCUACGGGAUGAAAUUCUACAAUGACCUGCUAAUGGAAGCCGGGCCGACCGGAAAUGUUCAGUCGGAGGUGCUCCUUCAGAAGGACAAGAACACCUUCACCUUCAAGCAAGGAUGGGCGUUUCCCAGGAAAGUAUACUUUAAUGGUGAUGAGUGUAUGUUGCCCUCACCUGAUAGUUACCCGUUUCUACCCAGUUCUGCUCCUCAAAACCCAUUUGGGUUCUCAACGGUGGUGAUUUAUUCCGUGUUCUUGGUGCUGACCGGAUUCUGGUGAUCCUUUUCCUCGUUUCGGCAAGCAGAAGGGAAGUGUUUUUGAAGCCAACUGAUCAACUAAGGCAAUAUACAAGGAAAGAACACAGAAAUUUUUUAUAAAGAGAGCAGGAUGUUAGCCCAGCACUAGCAAGCAAAUGCACUUAUUUCACCGAAUUUUUAACUGUUUACGGGCCAUUUUUUUUUAAUCACAUAAUCAAAUGAAAGAGAUCUUAUAUAUGAAACG